GGGUGGGGUGGGGGGAAGAGGUCCUGUAAAACCGAAAAAAAAGAAGAGGGAUGCAAACUGUCCUGGACUAACAUUUCAAAGAAAAUAAGAGAUCAUACUAAACAAAAACAACCACAACAACAAAACUGGCUGGAGUUUCAGUGAUGCUGAGUUGGGAACGACUUCCAUCCAUUCUAUAUGAUUGGUAAGACAAGGGAAGCUCACCCUUAGAACGCAGCCACCACGUGGUGAGGAAUCCCAGGCUACCUAGUGAGUCUUCAUGUAGAUACUCCAGCUGAGACUAGCCAACGUCCUAGCCAAAGGCCAGCCUCAACAGCCAAACACGUGCAUGAACAAGCCUUUAGAUGAUUCUAGUCUCCAGCUUCCAGUUAUGCCAGCUGAUGCCAAAAGAAGAAGAAAUGAGUUGCCCUACUCUGCUGUGCCUAAAGAUUGGUGAACAAGAUAAAUGCUGUUUUGAACUUCCAGGUGUUGAGGUAGCCUAUAAUGCAGCAGUAAAUUGCUACCACAGAUACUGAUACUAAAAAUGGUGUGCUGCUAUUCAA